rnacentral:lncRNA from 1 species
CAUCGAGCUCAAGAUCAGGAUAGGUGAAACAAAAUCAACCUCAUCCUCGACUGAAGGGUCUGGUCCGAGAGGAAGAUGUCAGAGGAUGAAAUGCAAUAGGCUGGACAAAGGCUGGCUCACUAGAUGCAGAGGGCCUAGACAGAAGCUGAGUCCUAAUGGCAUCAAGCUAGGACAGGACCUCCUUCACUAAAACUCGGAGCCCA